UACGUAGGUGGCAAGCGUUGUCCGGAAUUAUUGGGCAUAAAGCGCGCGCAGGCGGUCCUUUAAGUCUGAUGUGAAAGCCCACGGCUCAACCGUGGAGGGUCAUUGGAAGCUGGGGGACUUGAGUACAGAAGAGAAGAGUGGAAUUCCACGUGUAGCGGUGAAAUGCGUAGAGAUGUGGAGGAACACCAGUGGCGAAGGCGACUCUUUGGUCUGUAACUGACGCUGAGGCGCGAAAGCGUGGGGAGCAAACAGG
rnacentral:rRNA from 1 species